UCUACAUUUUAAGUAAAUAUCUGCUGAUAAAAUAUUUCUUUAAGUAGUGUUUCAAGCAGGAAAUCAAUAUUAAAUCGAAAGAGGAAGUAAAUCGGAGGUCAUACAAGUUUACAAAGAAAUUAAACAACCGUAUUGGCUAUUUUGACUUGUCCAGAAGAGGAACGCUGUUGAAGCAUGUCACAACAGAAAGGGAAAUUUACAGAUAAUAGUAAUGAAUUCGGACUAGAUGAUGAAAAAGAACAGCAUGGUUCUACGAAAUCCACGAAAGACAUCAACGUUCAAGAACAUUCUGAAAG